UCCUUCCGGUCCUUUCUUUCUCCUUUUUUUUUUUGUUUAAAGGGAGCGUAGGCUGGAGAUUAAGCGUGUUGUGAAAUGUAGACGCUCAACGUCUGCACUGCAGCGCGAACUGGUUUCCUUGAGUACGCACAAAGUGGGCGGAAUUCGUGGUGUAGCGGUGAAAUGCUUAGAUAUCACGAAGAACUCCGAUUGCGAAGGCAGCUCACUGGAGCGCAACUGACGCUGAAGCUCGAAAGUGCGGGUAUCGAACAGG
rnacentral:rRNA from 1 species